rnacentral:rRNA from 1 species
CGAGCGAAUGGAUUAAGAGCUUGCUCUUAUGAAGUUAGCGGCGGACGGGUGAGUAACACGUGGGUAACCUGCCCAUAAGACUGGGAUAACUCCGGGAAACCGGGGCUAAUACCGGAUAACAUUUUGAACCGCAUGGUUCGAAAUUGAAAGGCGGCUUCGGCUGUCACUUAUGGAUGGACCCGCGUCGCAUUAGCUAGUUGGUGAGGUAACGGCUCACCAAGGCAACGAUGCGUAGCCGACCUGAGAGGGUGAUCGGCCACACUGGGACUGAGACACGGCCCAGACUCCUACGGGAGGCAGCAGUAGGGAAUCUUCCGCAAUGGACGAAAGUCUGACGGAGCAACGCCGCGUGAGUGAUGAAGGCUUUCGGGUCGUAAAACUCUGUUGUUAGGGAAGAACAAGUGCUAGUUGAAUAAGCUGGCACCUUGACGGUACCUAACCAAAAAGCCACGGCUAACUACGUGCCACCACCCGCGGUAAUACGUAGGUGGCAAGCGUUAUCCGGAAUUAUUGGGCGUAAAGCGCGCGCAGGUGGUUUCUUAAUUCUGAUGUGAAAGCCCACGGCUCAACCGUGGAGGGUCAUUGGAAACUGGGAGACUUGAGUGCAAAAGAGGAAAGUGAAAUUCCAUGUGUAGCGGUGAAAUGCGUAGAGAUAUGAAGGAACACCAGUGGCGAAGGCGACUUUUCUGGUCUGUAACUGACACUGAGGC